rnacentral:rRNA from 1 species
CGGGUGAGUAACGCGUGAGGAACCUGCCUCAAAGAGGGGGACAACAGUUGGAAACGACUGCUAAUACCGCAUAAGCCCACGGCUCGGCAUCGAGCAGAGGGAAAAGGAGUGAUCCGCUUUGAGAUGGCCUCGCGUCCGAUUAGCUAGUUGGUGAGGUAACGGCCCACCAAGGCGACGAUCGGUAGCCGGACUGAGAGGUUGAACGGCCACGUUGGGACUGAGACACGGCCCAG